rnacentral:rRNA from 1 species
AUUGAACGCUGGCGGCAUGCCUUACACAUGCAAGUCGAACGGCAGCACGGGAGCAAUCCUGGUGGCGAGUGGCGAACGGGUGAGUAAUGUAUCGGAACGUGCCCAGUCGUGGGGGAUAACGCAGCGAAAGCUGUGCUAAUACCGCAUACGAUCUAUGGAUGAAAGCGGGGGACCGUAAGGCCUCGCGCGAUUGGAGCGGCCGAUAUCAGAUUAGGUAGUUGGUGGGGUAAAGGCCCACCAAGCCGACGAUCUGUAGCUGGUCUGAGAGGACGACCAGCCACACUGGAACUGAGACACGGUCCAGACUCCUACGGGAGGCAGCAGUGGGGAAUUUUGGACAAUGGGCGCAAGCCUGAUCCAGCAAUGCCGCGUGCAGGAUGAAGGCCUUCGGGUUGUAAACUGCUUUUGUACGGAACGAAACGCUCCUUUCUAAUACAAGGGGGUAAUGACGGUACCGUAAGAAUAAGCACCGGCUAACUGCGUGCCAGCCGCCGCGGUAA